rnacentral:rRNA from 1 species
UACGUAGGGGGCGAGCGUUGUCCGGAUUUAUUGGGCGUAAAGAGCUCGUAGGCGGUUUGGUAAGUCGGGUGUGAAAUCUCCACGCUCAACGUGGAGGGGCCACUCGAUACUGCCAUGACUCGAGUCCGGUAGAGGAGUGUGGAAUUCCCGGUGUAGCGGUGAAAUGCGCAGAUAUCGGGAGGAACACCAGUGGCGAAGGCGGCUCGCUGGACCGGUUCUGACGCUGAGGCGCGAAAGCGUGGGGAGCAAACGGG